rnacentral:rRNA from 1 species
GAUGAACGCUGGCGGCGUGCUUAACACAUGCAAGUCAAGCGAAGCGCUUUGAAUUUUUCGGAAUGAGAAGUGACUGAGCGGCGGACGGGUGAGUAACGCGUGGGUAACCUGCCUCAUACAGGGGGAUAACAGUUAGAAAUGACUGCUAAUACCGCAUGACACAUUGAGGGGGCAUCCCUUUGAUGUCAAAGAUUUAUCGCUGAAAGAUGGCCUCGCGUCCCAUUAGCUAGUUGGUGAGGUAACGGCCCACCAAGGCGACGAUGGGUAGCCGGACUGAGAGGUUGACCGGCCACAUUGGGACUGAGAUACGGCCCAG